ensembl:lncRNA
AUGCCGGAGUGGGUUGCCAUUUCCUUCUCCAGGAGAUCUUCCCAACCCAGGAAUUGAACCCGGGUCUCCCGCUUUGUAAGCAGACGCUUUACUGUCUGAGCCACCAGGGAAGUCCUAAGGACAUGUGAUAAAAUUUGACUGUGACUCAAGAAAAUUAAGGGCAUUGGAAAGGACAAAUGAAGGGGACAGGAUGGAAAUCAAAUACAAGAUGUUCUGUCACUGAGUUGUUGCAAAUUGUUACAAGAAAUCACAGAUGGUUGUUUUGUCAAGCAGGACAUCUCUAGAGAGGCCAUAUGGAGCCAUUGCAUCUCACAACAGUCUGUCACAGGGGGAAGAAAAAUCUCAACAUGCUUGCAAAUCUUCAAAGGUUCUUCCUUAUUAAGGCAAAGAAAUUCACAGCAUUGCAGUUCUUCAUAUCUCAGUAGGUAUUUUCUAGUGACAUCUCAUCAAAUG